UACGUAGGGGGCAAGCGUUGUCCGGAUUUACUGGGCGUAAAGAGCGUGUAGGCGGCCAGACCGGUCCGUUGUGAAAACUGGAGGCUCAACCUUCAGACGUCGACGGAAACCGUCUGGCUAGAGUCCGGAAGAGGAGAGUGGAAUUCCUGGUGUAGCGGUGAAAUGCGCAGAUAUCAGGAAGAACACCGGUGGCGAAGGCGGCUUCCUGGACCGACACUGACGCUGAGGCGCGAAAGCUAGGGGAGCAAACGGG
rnacentral:rRNA from 1 species